rnacentral:tRNA from 1 species
GCCUGGGUGGCUCAGUUGGUUGAGCGUCCGACUUCGGCUCAGGUCAUUAUCUCCCAGUUCGUGGGUUCAAGCCCCGCGUCGAGCU